rnacentral:rRNA from 1 species
UACGGAGGGUGCAAGCGUUAUCCGGAUUCACUGGGUUUAAAGGGUGCGUAGGUGGGCAGGUAAGUCCGUGGUGAAAUCUCCAAGCUUAACUUGGAAACUGCCGUGGAUACUAUCUGUCUUGAAUACCGUGGAGGUGAGCGGAAUAUGUCAUGUAGCGGUGAAAUGCUUAGAUAUGACAUAGAACACCAAUUGCGAAGGCAGCUCACUACACGCUUAUUGACACUGAGGCACGAAAGCGUUGGGGGAUCAAACAGG